AAUUCUGAAAUGACUAAUAAAAGCAAGCAAUUGAGAUAUAUCAUCGCGCAAUAAUACAGCUAAUUGUGUACUAAUUUUACAUCUGAAAUAUUUUCCGCUUGAGAUUUCAAAUUUGUUAGUGCAUUACAAUACGGCGGACGCGCAUAGGCAGUGCGUGCUCGUUCGUACGCGCCAAUGGUACUUGUGUGUGCGGGAUAUGUAAGAAUGCGAAUAUGCACGCUGAUUUUAAAAAUAAUCCGCAGUAUUUUUAUACACAUAUAACGUAUCUGCAAUUGAAGCGCCGAUAGAGGCGAAGUGCAAAAACCCCAAACGGAUUUACGCGAUCUUUAAUUUUCAACACAAACAACUCAAUCGAACGAGAGCGUGCGCAGCCAGCGGCUAAGUGGUGUGGAUGUCUAGUGGCAGCUGGUUGCUGUGUUGCACUAACGGAUAUACAGAUGCUGCUAGUGACUAGUUGAAUCACAAGCUUGCGGUGGGCGUUGCGUUUAAAUAUACUGCUGAUAACUAAUAAGUACCUGCGAUUGUUUUCUGGCGGCAAAACACUCCAAUCCGGCUCGUAGUAUGGAUACAUCGUUGCACAACUGCAGCAACUUCUUUCAGAUACAAAAGCUCUUACGUCUUAUUCGAG
rnacentral:lncRNA from 1 species